rnacentral:lncRNA from 1 species
GCGUGUUUCUCCUUGCCUUGUUGUUGGGAUCUCAUAAACAGCAGGCUCCCUCUGGGGCUCAACCUCAAAUGCCCUGUUUCAUACUCACUUCCUACGGGCUUGUUUCAGCAAUGAUUGGAUAAUGUUCUGAACCUACAAAAUUUUCCAUGAUAUCUUCUUGCUGAAUCUUGGGGUUAUUCUCACAAGAACAGGUAGCCUGGCUACGCAGAACUCUUCUCCUGUCCCUCUUGGCUCUCCACUGCCACAAAUCUAUAAAGUCCAAUCAUCAGCAGGACAGGAGAAGCCCUUCCAGGUCGCACCCACGGCCCUGCCUGUCUUUCAUCCUCCUGCUGCUGAUUGCUGCCUUCACCCGUGCAAAUGACACCUGCGACCUCCAGUAUGGACAAUGUCCUUUAGGUUCAGACCCCCCAAAG